rnacentral:rRNA from 1 species
AGUCGAGCGAAUCUUGAGGUGCUUGCACCUCUUGGUUAGCGGCGGACGGGUGAGUAACACGUGGGCAACCUGCCUGUAAGACUGGGAUAACUUCGGGAAACCGGAGCUAAUACCGGAUAAUCCUUUUCCUCUCAUGAGGAAAAGCUGAAAGUCGGUUUACGCUGACACUUACAGAUGGGCCCGCGGCGCAUUAGCUAGUUGGUGAGGUAACGGCUCACCAAGGCGACGAUGCGUAGCCGACCUGAGAGGGUGAUCGGCCACACUGGGACUGAGACACGGCCCAGACUCCUACGGGAGGCAGCAGUAGGGAAUCUUCCGCAAUGGACGAAAGUCUGACGGAGCAACGCCGCGUGAGCGAUGAAGGCCUUCGGGUCGUAAAGCUCUGUUGUUAGGGAAGAACAAGUACCGGAGUAACUGCCGGUACCUUGACGGUACCUAACCAGAAAGCCACGGCUAACUACGUGCCAGCAGCCGCGGUAAUACGUAGGUGGCAAGCGUUGUCCGGAAUUAUUGGGCGUAAAGCGCGCGCAGGCGGUCCUUUAAGUCUGAUGUGAAAGCCCACGGCUCAACCGUGGAGGGUCAUUGGAAACUGGGGGACUUGAGUACAGAAGAGGAAAGCGGAAUUCCACGUG